GAUGAACGCUGGCGGCGUGCCUAAUACAUGCAAGUCGAGCGUACAGACGAGGAGCUUGCUCCUCUGACGUUAGCGGCGGACGGGUGAGUAACACGUGGAUAACCUACCUAUAAGACUGGGAUAACUUCGGGAAACCGGAGCUAAUACCGGAUAAUAUAUUGAACCGCAUGGUUCAAUAGUGAAAGACGGUUUUGCUGUCACUUAUAGAUGGAUCCGCGCCGCAUUAGCUAGUUGGUAAGGUAACGGCUUACCAAGGCAACGAUGCGUAGCCGACCUGAGAGGGUGAUCGGCCACACUGGAACUGAGACACGGUCCAGACUCCUACGGGAGGCAGCAGUAGGGAAUCUUCCGCAAUGGGCGAAAGCCUGACGGAGCAACGCCGCGUGAGUGAUGAAGGUCUUCGGAUCGUAAAACUCUGUUAUUAGGGAAGAACAAAUGUGUAAGUAACUAUGCACGUCUUGACGGUACCUAACCAGAAAGCCACGGCUAACUACGUG
rnacentral:rRNA from 1 species